AAAUUGAAGAGUUUGAUCAUGGCUCAGAUUGAACGCUGGCGGCAGGCCUAACACAUGCAAGUCGAGCGGAAACGAGUUAUCUGAACCUUCGGGGGACGAUAACGGCGUCGAGCGGCGGACGGGUGAGUAAUGCCUAGGAAAUUGCCCUGAUGUGGGGGAUAACCAUUGGAAACGAUGGCUAAUACCGCAUGAUGCCUACGGGCCAAAGAGGGGGACCUUCGGGCCUCUCGCGUCAGGAUAUGCCUAGGUGGGAUUAGCUAGUUGGUGAGGUAAGGGCUCACCAAGGCGACGAUCCCUAGCUGGUCUGAGAGGAUGAUCAGCCACACUGGAACUGAGACACGGUCCAGACUCCUACGGGAGGCAGCAGUGGGGAAUAUUGCACAAUGGGCGCAAGCCUGAUGCAGCCAUGCCGCGUGUGUGAAGAAGGCCUUCGGGUUGUAAAGCACUUUCAGUCGUGAGGAAGGUAGUGUAGUUAAUAGCUGCAUUAUUUGACGUUAGCGGCAGAAGAAGCACCGGCUAACUCCGUGCCAGCAGCCGCGGUAAUACGGAGGGUGCGAGCGUUAAUCGGAAUUACUGGGCGUAAAGCGCAUGCAGGUGGUUUGUUAAGUCAGAUGUGAAAGCCCGGGGC
rnacentral:rRNA from 1 species